rnacentral:rRNA from 1 species
UGGGGAAUUUUGGACAAUGGGCGAAAGCCUGAUCCAGCCAUGCCGCGUGCAGGAUGAAGGCCUUCGGGUUGUAAACUGCUUUUGUACGGAACGAAAAGACUCCUUCUAAUAAAGGGGGUCCAUGACGGUACCGUAAGAAUAAGCACCGGCUAACUACGUGCCAGCAGCCGCGGUAAUACGUAGGGUGCAAGCGUUAAUCGGAAUUACUGGGCGUAAAGCGUGCGCAGGCGGUUAUGUAAGACAGAUGUGAAAUCCCCGGGCUCAACCUGGGAACUGCAUUUGUGACUGCAUAGCUAGAGUACGGUAGAGGGGGAUGGAAUUCCGCGUGUAGCAGUGAAAUGCGUAGAUAUGCGGAGGAACACCGAUGGCGAAGGCAAUCCCCUGGACCUGUACUGACGCUCAUGCACGAAAGCGUGGGGAGCAAACA